AAACAACAUAUGCUUCCUACUGAUGAGGCUCAUAACAGACCAGACUUAUUAGCUCGGAUUUUUCAUGCUAAACUUGAUCUUCUCAAAGAAGAACUCUUCAGAAAAGAAAUCUUUGGACCAGUAGCUGCCUAUACCUAUGUAGUUGAGUUUCAAAAACGUGGUCUGCCCCAUGCUCAUUUUCUCAUAAUCUUGAAAGCAGGGUCCAAGCUCUACUCCACAGAAUCUUAUGAUAACAUUGUGAGUGCAGAAAUUCCUGAUAAGAUGCCCAAUCGACAUUUAUUUAAUAUGGUCCGAAAGCAUAUGAUCCAUGGUCCUUGCGGAAAACAAAAUCCAGAUAAUGUUUGUAUGCAAGGAAGUCAGAAGAAGAAGUGCAAAAAUAAUUACCCAAAGCCAUUUGCUGAUACAACCUUCCAUGGAGAGAAUACAUAUCCCACUUAUCGCAGAAGGAAAGAUGGAAAGAAAAUAAUAGUUCGCGGACAUGAGUUGGAUAAUAGAUGGGUAGUUCCAUACAAUGGAUAUCUGUUAGCAAAAUUUGACUGUCAUAUAAAUGUAGAAAUUUGCUCCACAGUGAAAGCCGUGAAGUAUAUAUACAAGUAUAUAUAUAAGGGGCAUGACAGAAUACGUUUUAGAGUAAAUUCAGAUGCUUCUGAUCGACCAGAUUCUAACAUCCAACCAUCUGCAAUUGAUGAAAUAAGGGAAUUCCAGUCGGCUAGAUGGGUAUGUGCAGUAGAGGCAACUUGGAGAAUCUUCAGAUUCCAGCUAAGUGAAAUCCAUCCUUCUGUCAUUCACCUCCAGCUCCACUUAGAAAAUUGCCAAGCAAUGAAUUUCACACCCGAUCAGGACCUUCGAGAUGUGGUGAGGAAAAGGCAUGCAAAAAGAACCAUGUUAACAGAAUUCUUCUAUAUGAAUUCAGUGGACAAACUGGCUCAGCAUCUUAAGUGCACGUACAAAGAAUUCCCAGAACACUUCAUUUGGUACCCUGGCAAGAAGAAAUGGGAACCCAGAAAACAAAAGCAUUCUAUUGGUAGAAUUGUCGCAGCAAGCAUAGGAGAAGGAGAACGUUACUUUCUUAGAUUACUCCUAACACAUGUUAGAGCUCCAACAUCAUUCGAUGACCUCAAGACAAUCAAUGGAAAAUAUAUCAGUACAUUCCGUGAUGCAGCUAUCCUUAGAGGCUAUUUUGAAUCAGAUACGUCGCAGGAGCAAUGUCUUGAAGAAGCUAGCUCGUACCAUAUGCCAUACAUACUGAGAAGGCUAUUUGCAACUCUCCUGGUACACUUUCCUCCAUCAGAUAGUAGAUACCUUUGGAAAAAAUUUGAAUAUUCUUUAUCAGAAGAUUUCAUAAGAAUGUCAGAAUUUACACCUGAUCAAAUACGAUACAAAGUACUUGAACAGAUAAAUAAUUUUUUGCAAUCAAUGGGAAAAGACAUCAACUCAUAUGCUCUGGUUCCACAUGCUCUAAACUUUAAUCAUAUGAACAAGAACACAAGAGACACAACAGCAGAAACAACAAUCACUGUCCAAGAAUCUGAUCUCCAAGCAAUUUAUCAACUAAACUGUGACCAAAAAAUUGCUUUUGAUAUAAUUAUCGAUGCAGUGUUCAAAAUAAAGAAGGGUUGUUUUUUUAUUGAUGGCCCAGGCGGAACAGGCAAAACAUUUCUCUAUCGAGCACUCUUAGCUGAAGUGAGAUCAAAAGGAUUCAUAGCACUUGCUACAGCAUCAUGUGGAGUAGCAGCUUCAAUAUUACCUGGUGGAAGAACAUCUCACUCAAGAUUCAACAUACCAUUAGAUACAACCAAAAAUACCAACUGCAGAAUCAGCAAACAAAGUUCAUCAGCACAACUUCUAAAAUCAGCCAGCCUUGUAAUUUGGGAUGAAGCUCCAAUGAUGAAUAAAAUCUCAAUAGAAGCUGUUGAUAGAUUACUCCAAGAUUUAAUGGACUGCAAUGACUUAUUUGGAUCAAAGGUAAUUGUCUUUGGAGGAGAUUUUCGUCAGGUAUUACCGGUUGUUACUAAAGGCACAAAAGUGGAUUUUAUUGAUGCUUCCAUAGUAAAUUCAUAUAUAUGGCCACAACUUCAUAAACUUCACCUGACAGAGAAUAUGAGAGCAAGACAUGAUCCUGAGUUCAUUGAAUAUCUACUCCGUAUUGGAAAUGGAACAGAGCCUGUUAUCAAUAACAACUCUAUCCAAAUACAUACUGCAUUGCUGAUAAGAUACACAAAUGACGAAGAUUCCAUCACAGAGCUCAGUAAGGCUGUAUUCCCGGAUUUAAUGGCAUUCUUCCAUGAUGAUUUUUCAGCCGUGAACCGUGCUAUACUUACAACAAAGAACGAAUUUGUUGAUGACAUCAACCAGAAAAUCAUACAUCAAUUACCUGGACAGGUCCAAGAAUACAUCAGUAGGGACAAAUGCAUUGACGAUUCUGAACAGACAAUCAUGGAGGAUUUCGUGAAUGCCUUAACACCCAAUGGAUUUCCUCCUCACAGGCUGCUCCUCAAACCACAUUGUCCAAUUAUGUUGCUCAGAAACAUUGAUCCCCCCCAAGGAUUGUGCAAUGGAACGAGGCUCAUCUGCAAAUCUUUAAACUCUAACAUUAUACAUGCAGUAAUAAGUUGUGGAGAGUUCACUGGGAAAGAGGUCUUUCUCCAUCGAAUAUGCUUCAGAAUUGAGACCAAUCCAGACUCUCCAGUAUCUUUUGAACUCAUCCAGUUUCCUGUUCGACCCUGUUUCGCAAUGACUAUUAACAAAGCUCAAGGCCAGACGUUGGAUUUUGUGGGAAUAUACUUACGUGAACCAGUUUUCUCACAUGGACAGCUAUAUGUGGCAAUGUCCAGAGCAAAAAAUAAAAACUCAAUUAAAAUGCUCAUCAAACCACCUAUAUUUGAUCCUGAACAAGACUCAAUAACAAAUAAUGUAGUGUAUAAAGAGGUCCUCGAUUUAGCACAUGAAUGAUUUGCUCACUCACACACGUGCCACUCUAUUAUAUUAUCUGUAUUCUGUUUCUAUAUUUUUUUUCACAAAAUCAUCCACCAAUUAUUCUUUCAAGUUACAGGAAGACAGAAAAGUCAUAGCAUUUGCUGAAAUUAUUCCUGGACUUCGAGAUUGGACAACAAUAGUUCAGGUUCUUGACAAACAGAAGCCGCUCCUAUCAAAAGCAGGAAAUCGCUAUCAGAAGCUUACACUCAUUGAUGGGCAGGUAAAUACACUACAAAACUUCCUGAAUUCUUACUACACCUCAAAAUACAUCUCACAUUUGAAUGGAACCAAACCUUUUGUACAGGGCACCACAGUGGAGGCUAUGAUAUACAAAUCAGACAUAGAAUUCUUUCGCAACCACUUUCGCCUGUAUAUGCGUUACAUGCUGUCCAAUGCAAGAGUUGAAUAUACUCCACUGGAAUAUCGUGUACGUGAAAAUCAAUGUACUUGGUAUAUUGACAACUCCACUGUUGUCCAGGCAAUGGAUGAACCAAAUCCCCCAGAAAUUCCUCCUGUUUUCAGAUUCACUCCUUUCAGAAGAUUCUACCAACACAUUGAUGAUACGUCAGACAUAGGUAAUAUGCAAAACUCAGAUAUAUAACUAUCUCAUAUUUGAAAAACUGCUAAUUAAUUUCUCCUUGAUGAAUGCAAAGAACAGAUAUACUUGGCAUUGUCGCAGAGGUCCAUCAACGAUUUCACAAAGGCACUACCCCAACUAGAGAGAUUGUAAUCAUAGACAAAAGGUAAUCAUUAUUGUAAAGAGAGUAAUCAGUCUAUAUAGAUUGUGCCACCAAAUUCAAUAGAUAGAUAUAAAAAAACUAAUUUUAGACAUCUAAUCAAAUACAUUGCAGCUUCAUGCCAGUCAUCCUAACUCUCUGGGGUGAUCACGAGACAGAUGAAGGCCAAGCAAUUGCCAACAUGAUUCAAUCAAUGCCACUCAUUGUUGGCCUUCGACUGAGAGUUUCAUCAUACCACAGUAAGUAUAGCUCAAAAUAUCACAAAUCCACCAUUCAUAUACUUCACCACAUCUUAGAAUAUUAAUAUCAUCUUCAAUUACAUAAAACUGCAGCUCUAAAUCUCUCAACAAAGUUUGGCUCCAGUGUUUUGGUGAACCCCCCAAUACAACAAGGUUCAAUGUUGAGGCAAUGGUAGGCGCUUGCUUCAAUUAAACUGUCCUCCGAUAUGUUAUAACAGAGUAUUUGCAAUAUUCUUAUAACUAACAAUUGAUAUCUGCUCACAAGGGCUAUGGAAAACAAAACACAGAUCAAUGACCUCAUAACACAGAGAGCAUACCUAAACCGAACCAGCCUACUACCACAACCUACAGAAGAUGAGCUCUGCACUAUCAAAGAGUUCCUGAAUUUACCAAUGGUGAGCUUCUGGAACUUUCAGAAAUCUAACUUCUUGGCUCAUUCACUUAUCUACCAAAUUAGGCAACUUAGAGUCUUAUUUCUUCUCAGAAAAAAGCUUAUUGGAUUCAAGGAAGCCCACGAUUCCUUGACAAAAGCCAACGGCUAUGGUAUAAUGCAUGCUCAAACUGUCACAAAUCCUUCAGAGCUAAACCUCAAUGGAAGAUUAUUUGCACUUCCUGCAACAAGAAUGUUAACAUUCUUCCAAGGUAACCAUCACAACAGCAACUUCACAAACUACUUCAAUAAACAUUGUUUCACUAAUUACCAACAACAAUUACAGGAGUAGGUUAACCAUAGAGCUGGCUGAUUACUCUGGAAACCUCACACUUGAUUUGUAUGACAAUGAUGCACAGCAACUACUGCCCUUCACACUGCCACAGAUUCAAGAACUCGAAAGCAAGGUCAGUAUACAUUCAUAUGCAAAACUUACCAACCUCCAGUUAAACAUAAACUCAUAUACAUUGUAUAGACUAAUACUCAAACACAAAUAUUGCAGCAUCAGCUUGAUUACACAGCUAUUGAACAGGCUAUUGAGAGUAGUAUCCUCACCUGCUUCGUGAAAAAAAUGACUGAAAAUCGUGGACCUGCCGACACAGAAAAAUACGCAGCUAUCAUAGUGCACAAAGCAAAUGCUGCAGAACUAAUAUCAAGCACUUCUAGAAAUUCAGCUUCAACUUCCACUCCUUCUACAAAUCCACUUACAGCUCCAGAAUCAUCGAACUUGACCACCAGUUCAACAAUUCUCAAUGCAACUGCUCAAAGUUACAGGGGAGCAACAAAUUUGGACAGCAAUUUGUUCACAACACUCAAAAUCACAGAAACUCCAACUAAGAAACAACGCACUGACCCGACUGACAUGGAGCUGUAGAUAUAGUAUAUGCAUCUAUGCUUUUGACCAACCUUUUGAACAUCUGAUGAACUGCCAUCUCCAUCAGUGUACAUAGGCUAUCGUUUGUGGGUUGCUAAAAGGUCUACACCAAGGCAUUAGUCUACCCUACUCCAAACUAUCUGCAUCAAAGCUUUUGACCAACCUUUUGAACAUCUGAUGAACUGCCAUCUCCAUCAAUGUACAUAGGCUAUCGUUUGUGCCUUGCUAAAAGGUCUACGCCAGGGAAUUAGUCUACCCUACUCUAAACCACAGCUCCAAUUAUGUUUUUGAACAUUUUGUAUAGCAUCAUCAGAUAUGUAGCUGUGCUUUUGAAGUGCUGAAAAUGAAAUCAGAUGUCUAACUAUGAUUUUGAAAUACCAUGUAAUUGAUGAAUACUAUUUCACGUUACUGU
rnacentral:lncRNA from 1 species